rnacentral:rRNA from 1 species
AUUGAACGCUGGCGGCAGGCCUAACACAUGCAAGUCGAGCGGAUGAAGGGAGCUUGCUCCUGGAUUCAGCGGCGGACGGGUGAGUAAUGCCUAGGAAUCUGCCUGGUAGUGGGGGAUAACGUCCGGAAACGGGCGCUAAUACCGCAUACGUCCUGAGGGAGAAAGUGGGGGAUCUUCGGACCUCACGCUAUCAGAUGAGCCUAGGUCGGAUUAGCUAGUUGGUGGGGUAAAGGCCUACCAAGGCGACGAUCCGUAACUGGUCUGAGAGGAUGAUCAGUCACACUGGAACUGAGACACGGUCCAGACUCCUACGGGAGGCAGCAGUGGGGAAUAUUGGGCAAUGGGCGAAAGCCUGAUCCAGCCAUGCCGCGUGUGUGAAGAAGGUCUUCGGAUUGUAAAGCACUUUAAGUUGGGAGGAAGGGCAGUAAGUUAAUCCCUUGCUGUUUUGACGUUACCAACAGAAUAAGCACCGGCUAACUUCGUG